rnacentral:rRNA from 1 species
UACGCAGGGGGCAAGCGUUGUCCGGAAUCAUUGGGCGUAAAGAGCGUGUAGGCGGUCCGGUAAGUCGGCUGUGAAAGUCCAGGGCUCAACCCUGGGAUGCCGGUCGAUACUGCCGGACUAGAGUUCGGAAGAGGCGAGUGGAAUUCCCGGUGUAGCGGUGAAAUGCGCAGAUAUCGGGAGGAACACCUAUGGCGAAGGCAGCUCGCUGGGACGUUACUGACGCUGAGACGCGAAAGCGUGGGGAGCGAACAGG